AAAAAGGGGAUGCUUAGUAGCGGCGAGUGAGCGGCAAAAGCUCAAAUUUGAAAUCUGGCGCCUUCGGUGUCCGAGUUGUAAUUUGAAGAUUGUAACCUUGGGGUUGGCUCUUGUCUAUGUUUCUUGGAACAGGACGUCACAGAGGGUGAGAAUCCCGUGCGAUGAGAUGCCCAAUUCUAUGUAAGGUGCUUUCGAAGAGUCGAGUUGUUUGGGAAUGCAGCUCUAAGUGGGUGGUAAAUUCCAUCUAAAGCUAAAUAUUGGCGAGAGACCGAUAGCGAACAAGUACAGUGAUGGAAAGAUGAAAAGAACUUUGAAAAGAGAGUGAAAAAGUACGUGAAAUUGUUGAAAGGGAAGGGUUUGAGAUCAGACUCGAUAUUUUGUGAGCCUUGCCUUCGUGGCGGGGUGACCCGCAGCUUAUCGGGCCAGCAUCGGUUUGGGCGGUAGGAUAAUGGCGUAGGAAUGUGACUUUACUUCGGUGAAGUGUUAUAGCCUGCGUUGAUGCUGCCUGCCUAGACCGAGGACUGCGAUUUUAUCAAGGAUGCUGGCAUAAUGAUCCCAAACCGCCCGUCUUGAACCACGGACCA
rnacentral:rRNA from 1 species